ensembl:lncRNA
CUGCAGGAGAAAAUGAUGAUACUCUAGAAGAGAAGCGCAAGCAAAUGGUGCUGCUUCAUUCUACUGAAGGAAUGUCUGGAGCCAAUAGAGGAGUACUUCACAAGUUGAUGGAGGUCACAUAUUACCGUCAGCGCCGUGAUGUAAACGCCACUCCACCACUGUCACCACUGUCUGGCCUUACCUGUUUUGUCUGAAGGGGAUCUUUUUACAUUUCCAAUUGCUUACAGACAUCUCACUACUACAAAAAAUCAUGGAGAGCAUUGAAGGGAAAGGAAUGAGGAUUCUAAGAUUUUUUUUCAAGAAAAGCCAACAAACAAAGAGGUGUAUGCUGUUCUGUCAGAGUAUCAAGAGGGAAAUUCUCUGGUCCUGUGCAUCUUGAAACUCUUAAUGGCCCAUUUCAAAGAGAGAACAGAAUCACUUCUAAUUGAAGCUGAUGCAGCAGCAACUGCAGCCGACAUGGAAAGAGAGGGAUUACCGGAUUCACCCGCACUGAUCAUCCAAGGUGAAUCCAUGACCCCAAGCAAGUGGAUGUUGUCCGUCGAGAGGGAAGUUGUCCUGGGCCCAUUUUCAGAGGCAUUUGUUGAGGGCCUGGCAGCAUUGUUUGCGACCUAUUAGAACUUAAAUCUUGCUUAUCAGGAUGACGCUGCAUGCACACUGGAAUUUAUUCAGAGGUAUUUCAGAGCAUAAAAUCUUACUUAAUAUUUAUUGUUACUUUCACUUUUUUUUUUUUCUUUUUUUUUUUUGAUUUUCAAUUUUGGAUAGUUUAUCAGAAUUAGAUAUUUUAUGGAAAAGUUUUCAAAUGAACAACAAAAAAUUGCUAACCACAUACUGAA